AACCAAAGCAGCAGACAUGUGGCGACUUGUCCAGGGUGUACCCCGCAUUCCGCCUUUAUGCAGCUGGGAUAGGCUCCAGAGACCCCCGCGACCCCAAGAGGGACAAGCAGUAGAAAAUGGAUGGAUGGAUCUGCUUGAUUUCUAAAGAAAAAUAGAGGUGUGUCCAGACAUUGAACUUCUGAUCACUGCAACAGAGACAUGCGUUCAACAGUUGCGCUCCCACACAUCCAAAGUGUAAGAAGGAAAUCUCAG